rnacentral:tRNA from 1 species
UGGUCCGUUGGUCAAGAGGUUAAGACACCGCCUUUUCACGGCGGUAACACGGGUUCGAAUCCCGUACGGACUAU